rnacentral:snoRNA from 1 species
UUUAUAUGAUGAUUAGUCUUGUCUGAAUAAUAAAAAAAAUGAAGACAAUAGUACUGCCCCAAACUGAUUAAAAUUAGCAA